AGAGUUUGAUCAUGGCUCAGAUUGAACGCUGGCGGCAGGCUUAACACAUGCAAGUCGAACGAUGACUCUCUAGCUUGCUAGAGAAGAUUAGUGGCGGACGGGUGAGUAACAUUUAGGAAUCUGCCUAGUAGUGGGGGAUAGCUCGGGGAAACUCGAAUUAAUACCGCAUACGACCUACGGGUGAAAGGGGGCGCAAGCUCUUGCUAUUAGAUGAGCCUAAAUCAGAUUAGCUAGUUGGUGGGGUAAAGGCCCACCAAGGCGACGAUCUGUAACUGGUCUGAGAGGAUGAUCAGUCACACCGGAACUGAGACACGGUCCGGACUCCUACGGGAGGCAGCAGUGGGGAAUAUUGGACAAUGGGGGCAACCCUGAUCCAGCCAUGCCGCGUGUGUGAAGAAGGCCUUUUGGUUGUAAAGCACUUUAAGCAGGGAGGAGAGGCUAAUGGUUAAUACCCAUUAGAUUAGACGUUACCUGCAGAAUAAGCACCGGCUAACUCUGUGCCAGCAGCCGCGGUAAUACAGAGGGUGCGAGCGUUAAUCGGAAUUACUGGGCGUAAAGCGAGUGUAGGUGGCUCAUUAAGUCACAUGUGAAAUCCCCGGGCUUAACCUGGGAACUGCAUGUGAUACUGGUGGUGCUAGAAUAUGUGAGAGGGAAGUAGAAUUCCAGGUGUAGCGGUGAAAUGCGUAGAGAUCUGGAGGAAUACCGAUGGCGAAGGCAGCUUCCUGGCAUAAUAUUGACACUGAGAUUCGAAAGCGUGGGUAGCAAACAGGAUUAGAUACCCUGGUAGUCCACGCCGUAAACGAUGUCUACUAGCCGUUGGGGUCCUUGAGACUUUAGUGGCGCAGUUAACGCGAUAAGUAGACCGCCUGGGGAGUACGGCCGCAAGGUUAAAACUCAAAUGAAUUGACGGGGGCCCGCACAAGCGGUGGAGCAUGUGGUUUAAUUCGAUGCAGCGCGAAGAACCUUACCUGGUCUUGACAUAGUGAGAAUCUUUCAGAGAUGAGAGAGUGCCUUCGGGAAUUCACAUACAGGUGCUGCAUGGCUGUCGUCAGCUCGUGUCGUGAGAUGUUGGGUUAAGUCCCGCAACGAGCGCAACCCUUUUCCUUAUUUGCCAGCGGGUUAAGCCGGGAACUUUAAGGAUACUGCCAGUGACAAACUGGAGGAAGGCGGGGACGACGUCAAGUCAUCAUGGCCCUUACGACCAGGGCUACACACGUGCUACAAUGGUAGGUACAGAGGGCAGCUACACAGCGAUGUGAUGCGAAUCUCAAAAAGCCUAUCGUAGUCCAGAUUGGAGUCUGCAACUCGACUCCAUGAAGUAGGAAUCGCUAGUAAUCGCGGAUCAGAAUGCCGCGGUGAAUACGUUCCCGGGCCUUGUACACACCGCCCGUCACACCAUGGGAGUUGAUUGCACCAGAAGUGGAUAGCUUAACCGUAAGGGGAGCGUUC
rnacentral:rRNA from 1 species